AUUGAACGCUGGCGGCAGGCCUAACACAUGCAAGUCGAGCGGUAGCACAGAGAGCUUGCUCUCGGGUGACGAGCGGCGGACGGGUGAGUAAUGUCUGGGAAACUGCCUGAUGGAGGGGGAUAACUACUGGAAACGGUAGCUAAUACCGCAUAAUGUCGCAAGACCAAAGUGGGGGACCUUCGGGCCUCAUGCCAUCAGAUGUGCCCAGAUGGGAUUAGCUAGUAGGUGGGGUAACGGCUCACCUAGGCGACGAUCCCUAGCUGGUCUGAGAGGAUGACCAGCCACACUGGAACUGAGACACGGUCCAGACUCCUACGGGAGGCAGCAGUGGGGAAUAUUGCACAAUGGGCGCAAGCCUGAUGCAGCCAUGCCGCGUGUGUGAAGAAGGCCUUCGGGUUGUAAAGCACUUUCAGCGGGGAGGAAGGCGGUGGAGGGUUAAUAACCUCACCGAUUGACGUUACCCGCAGAAGAAGCACCGGCUAACUCCGUGCCAGCAGCCGCGGUAAUACGGAGGGUGCAAGCGUUAAUCGGAAUUACUGGGCGUAAAGCGCACGCAGGCGGUCUGUCAAGUCGGAUGUGAAAUCCCCGGGCUCAACCUGGGAACUGCAUUCGAAACUGGCAGGCUAGAGUCUUGUAGAGGGGGGUAGAAUUCCAGGUGUAGCGGUGAAAUGCGUAGAGAUCUGGAGGAAUACCGGUGGCGAAGGCGGCCCCCUGGACAAAGACUGACGCUCAGGUGCGAAAGCGUGGGGAGCAAACAGGAUUAGAUACCCUGGUAGUCCACGCCGUAAACGAUGUCGAUUUGGAGGUUGUGCCCUUGAGGCGUGGCUUCCGGAGCUAACGCGUUAAAUCGACCGCCUGGGGAGUACGGCCGCAAGGUUAAAACUCAAAUGAAUUGACGGGGGCCCGCACAAGCGGUGGAGCAUGUGGUUUAAUUCGAUGCAACGCGAAGAACCUUACCUGGUCUUGACAUCCACAGAACUUUCCAGAGAUGGAUUGGUGCCUUCGGGAACUGUGAGACAGGUGCUGCAUGGCUGUCGUCAGCUCGUGUUGUGAAAUGUUGGGUUAAGUCCCGCAACGAGCGCAACCCUUAUCCUUUGUUGCCAGCGGUUCGGCCGGGAACUCAAAGGAGACUGCCAGUGAUAAACUGGAGGAAGGUGGGGAUGACGUCAAGUCAUCAUGGCCCUUACGACUAGGGCUACACACGUGCUACAAUGGCAUAUACAAAGAGAAGCGACCUCGCGAGAGCAAGCGGACCUCAUAAAGUAUGUCGUAGUCCGGAUUGGAGUCUGCAACUCGACUCCAUGAAGUCGGAAUCGCUAGUAAUCGUAGAUCAGAAUGCUACGGUGAAUACGUUCCCGGGCCUUGUACACACCGCCCGUCACACCAUGGGAGUGGGUUGCAAAAGAAGUAGGUAGCUUAACCUUCGGGAGGGCGCUUACCACUUUGUGAUUCAUGACUGGGGUG
rnacentral:rRNA from 1 species